rnacentral:misc_RNA from 1 species
UAGAAACAUUAAUGUACCUACCCUAAUUAUUUGACUUUCUAAAUCCUACUAAAUAUUAUAGAACAUUGUUGUUAUUGUAAGUACAUUAGUGUAUGUUAAAUUUUCUUAUUAUUAUAAUAAUCGGUAACUACCUACUUAGUAUGAUAAAAUAAACAAAUUAAAUUGCAAUUUACGCAUCGCCUUGUGUAUAUAAAUAAAGACGAGAUGACAAUUGUAUGUUGCAUUGUAAAUAGUUUUAAUAUAAAAUAGUAUUUAUGAUUACAAUUUUCGAAGUAAAUAAAACACAAUUUCGGACUAAACAUUUGUAUUCAAUUUUUCCUCCCUGAUAGAAAUUCCUUGCACUCGUUAGACAAAUUAAAUGAGUAAUUUGAUAGAAUAAUAGGUAUCA